UUCAGGUUUGAAAGUAUACUGUAGCUGAACAUGAAGCAAACAAGAUCAGGAAACGAACAGAUUCAUUCUAGUGUUUGUAUAGAUAAAAGUCUGUGCAGUUUUGCAGAAGAAGAAGAAUGUAGACAAUGGCUUAAUUCACCUUAAUUCUUGAUACAUGGGAACACACUAGACCUCUGGAAACACUAGCAACUAACUGUAGCCAGAUGGUUAAAUUUUCCUGCACUAAUACAAAAUACUGAUGUGAACUUGUCUGAUGCAAAUUAAUACAAUGAAUGUAUGCCUUGUGAUGUCUGUGAUGGUGUGCUACCCGCCCCCUUUUCUACCUUUCCAUUGCUUUACUCAGGAUGAACAGUGCACCAAAGACCUUGCUCAGGAACAUAGUGACUGUGGUAUUGGUUCACCUCAGGCCUUGCUCAGGCAGAUAGUGACCACAGUACUGGCUCAGCCUGGUUGCUGGAGGAACUGAUGGACAGACAUCUUGUUCAACAGCUGAGGGAAAAUUGAGUAUGUGCCAGAAAACAUGACUAUGGGUCGACCAUCUUACCCUGAGUGAUGUGUGUAAUGCCAUCAGCCACAACGUCAUAGUCUUUCACAGGACAAAAGAAGACUAAAAAUGGAAAGAAAGAGAAGGGACAAGCCAGCCUAUCUAGAAAAUAUAGCCGCCAAGGAAAGCUGUGCCAGGGAAGAGGAACACACUGUUACCAAAGUCCAGUUCACAAUGGGUUCAUUCCUUCUGCCAUUUACACAAAGCCACAGCUGAUCAGACUGAAACAUUCCUCUUGCUGGCUCCUAUUCUUCCUUCAUUUUAUUAAUAACCUGGCAACAGGAUAGGGGCUAAGAAAAGAGACCUUCUAGAAUGGAGAAUUUACUGAAGAAACCAGAAGUGAAAGGUAGGUAUGGGAGUUUGAAGUCACAUUUAUUAGGUGACAUAGUUCCUUUAGAGAACGAGAAAAGGACUUUAGGCAUGAGCACAACCCAUCAGGAAAAUCCAUGGUGAC
rnacentral:lncRNA from 1 species